UAUUAAUAACUACAGCUGACAGUUGUUUAAUGUGUUUUUAAAAUCUCUACAAUAUAAACGGUUUUAAAUGAAAAAGAGCGAAUUACUGUUUUAGAGAUGAGGGGCUACGACGAUAGAAAAAGAUCUUAUAGUAGGUAGCCAACGUUUUUAACUAUACGUUCGCAAACCAUUCUCCUAUAAGGCGACGAUACAAAAAAUUGGAAACCGCUUUGAGGAAACUGGACUUGUAAAAGAUGGCAUUCGAACAGAAGAAAAUUUAGCAAACUAUAAUUAUGAAACGCUACUUAGAAAUGAAAUUGUACCUGCCCUGAAAAACAAUUUGGGAGCCAAUUUUAAUGAGAUAGAUCAUUCAGCCAGAUGGAGUUCCAGCUCAUUUUGAUGUAAAUAUUCGGCGUUAUUUAGAUCUUAGAUCAGACAUUUCCCAUACGAUGGGUUGGUAGAUAGAUAGUAUUGAAUGGCCUCCUCGUUCGCCUGAUUUGAAUCCUAAAAAUUAUUUUUACGAGAAGUAGAAUUUAUAAAAAUAAACCAGCACGUCAAGGUUUGCAGAACCAAGGCAAAGAAUUAUCGAUGAAUCUAUAUUAAUUUUUACAGAAACAUGUCUAGGAUGCUAACGGAUUAAUAACGAAGGACAUUUUGAACACAAUUAGGCAUUUCCAAAGAUAACUGUUUUAUAAUUAUUAUUGUUAAGAGGAUCGGUACGUAUUUUCGGCUGCAAUGCUAUUCAAAUGGGGAUUUAUUUUUUUCGAAUCCUGAGAAAACUAAUAAGUAUUUUUAAAAAAUGUAAACGCAGAAUGAAAGAUCACGUUAUUAGCGAGGGCCGAAAGUCCCUGAGAACUUCUAUAAUAAUUAUUUUAAUAAGUUACAGGGGUGAAAAACUAAGAGAAAAUUUAGUGUGAUUUUUAAUUUCAAAUAUAUCAUUCAAAAUAAACUUUUUACUUAUUCUAAGGGACUUUCGGCCCUCGGUAAUAAUUUAGUCUUUCAUUCUGCGUUUAAAUUUUUCAAAAAUAUUUAUUGGUUUUUUUUCAGGAUUCGAAAAAAAUAAACACAAUGCCGUGGUAAUAUUUUCCAAAUCUAUCUUUGUCUUACAACGCACUCAGCCGAAUAUAAUAUUGUCAGCAUAUAUUGUCAGUCAGACACUGACAAUCAGUGACAAUUUUAAAUAUUUGACAUUGUAUCGGGAAUAUGUUGAGUUAUUGAUUAAAUAUUAUUGAUAUAUAGUGUAUUUGAUAAAUAAUUGAUUUAAGACGUGAACUUAAUAAAAAGUUAUUUAUUGUG